CCUACGGGUGGCUGCAGUGGGGAAUAUUGGACAAUGGGCGAAAGCCUGAUCCAGCCAUGCCGCGUGUGUGAAGAAGGCCUUCGGGUUGUAAAGCACUUUCAGUGGGGAAGAAAGCCUUGGGGCUAAUACCCUCGAGGAAGGACAUCACCCACAGAAGAAGCACCGGCUAACUCCGUGCCAGCAGCCGCGGUAAUACGGAGGGUGCGAGCGUUAAUCGGAAUGACUGGGCGUAAAGCGCGCGUAGGCGGUCUGAUAAGCCGGUUGUGAAAGCCCCGGGCUCAACCUGGGAACGGCAUCCGGAACUGUCAGGCUAGAGUACAGGAGAGGAAGGUAGAAUUCCCGGUGUAGCGGUGAAAUGCGUAGAGAUCGGGAGGAAUACCAGUGGCGAAGGCGGCCUUCUGGACUGACACUGACGCUGAGGUGCGAAAGCGUGGGUAGCAAACAGGAUUAGAUACCCCUGUAGUC
rnacentral:rRNA from 1 species